CCAGACUCCUACGGGAGGCAGCAGUGAGGAAUAUUGGUCAAUGGGCGAGAGCCUGAACCAGCCAAGUCGCGUGAGGGAAGACGGUCCUAUGGAUUGUAAACCUCUUUUGCCGGGGAGCAAAAAGCGGUACGUGUACCGCAUCGAGAGUACCCGGAGAAAAAGCAUCGGCUAACUCCGUGCCAGCAGCCGCGGUAAUACGGAGGAUGCGAGCGUUAUCCGGAUUUAUUGGGUUUAAAGGGUGCGUAGGCGGGAUGCCAAGUCAGCGGUAAAAAUGCGGUGCUCAACGCCGUCGAGCCGUUGAAACUGGCGUUCUUGAGUGGGCGAGAAGUAUGCGGAAUGCGUGGUGUAGCGGUGAAAUGCAUAGAUAUCACGCAGAACUCCGAUUGCGAAGGCAGCAUACCGGCGCCCUACUGACGCUGAGGCACGAAAGCGUGGGUAUCGAACAGGAUUAGAUACCCUCGUA
rnacentral:rRNA from 1 species